AGGUUUUAUAAAAUCUGAAAUUCAAAAUUGGAAAUUUUUAGGUACUAAAAAGACCUGCCAUGUUUUAACUGUUUAACGAAUCUAAAAUUUAAAGGGGGACUUUUCGCUGACGAAGUAGCGGGUGUACGUUUAGGAACUGGUGUACUGAACUAGGAAAUAGAUUGACACAGCUCUGUAUGUGCUUUAUCCUUUUAGGAAUUUUGACGAAGUACUUAUUUUUCCACAAAAUUUAAAAAAUGGACAACUCAUUCAGAUACCUCCCCACCUUCCUAAUUUCCUUUUUUUAAUGUUAAUUUAAAUUCAUGUAAUUUUCUUUGAAGGAUAUCAAAACAGUGAGUCUAUACUACUUAAA